rnacentral:rRNA from 1 species
AUUAGCAUGGAAUAUUAGAAUAGGACGUGCGGUUCUAUUUUGUUGGUUUCUAGGACCGCCGUAAUGAUUAAUAGGGAUAGUCGGGGGCGUCAGUAUUCAGCUGUCAGAGGUGAAAUUCUUGGAUUUGCUGAAGACUAACUACUGCGAAAGCAUUCGCCAAGGAUGUUUUCAUUAAUCAGGGAACGAAAGUUAGGGGAUCGAAGACGAUCAGAUACCGUCGUAGUCUUAACCAUAAACUAUGCCGACUAGGGAUCGGACGGGAUUCUAUGAUGACCCGUUCGGCACCUUACGAGAAAUCAAAGUUUUUGGGUUCUGGGGGGAGUAUGGUCGCAAGGCUGAAACUUAAAGAAAUUGACGGAAGGGCA